rnacentral:rRNA from 1 species
AGAGUUUGAUCCUGGCUCAGGACGAACGCUGGCGACGUGGAUAAGGCUUGCAAGUCGAACGGUUCUGAUGAAGUUUACUUUUUCAGAAUAGUGGCAAACGGGGUAGUAACACAUUGGUAACGCACCUCAAAGACAGGGAUAACUCAGAGAAAUUUGAGCUAAUACCUGAUAUGUUAUGACAGCAUAAGUUGUCAUAAUAAAGCUCCGGCGCUUUGAGAGCGGCCUAUGUCCUAUCAGCUUGUUGGCGGGGUAAAAGCCCACCAAGGCUAUGACGGGUAGCUGGUGUGAGAGCACGACCAGCACCACUGGGACUGAGACACUGCCCAGACUCCUACGGGAGGCUGCAGUCGAGAAUCUUCCUCAAUGCACGAAAGUGUGAAGGAGCGACGUCGCGUGACCGAAGAAGCCUUUCGGGGUGUAAAGGUCUUUUAUCAGGGAAGAACUAAUGACGGUACCUGAAGAAUAAGGGGCGGCUAACUUCGUGCCAGAAGCCUCGGUAAUACGAAGGCCCCUAGCGUUGUCCGGAUUUAUUGGGCGUAAAGCGUCCGCAGGUUGUUUAUUAAGUCAGCAGUGAAAUACCUAAGCUCAACUUAGGGAGCGCUGCCGAGACUAGUAAACUAGAGUCCGGGAGAGGCAAGCGGAAUUGCCGGUGUAGCGGUUAAAUGCGUUAAUAUCGGCAGGAACACCAAAUGCGAAGGCAGCUUGCUAGAACGGCACUGACACUCAUGGACGAAAGCGUGGGUAGCGAAUGGGAUUAGAUACCCCAGUAGUCCACGCCGUAAACGAUGGAUACUAGGCAUUGAGAGUAUCGACCCUCUCAGUGUCGCUGAACCAAGCUAACGCGUUAAGUAUCCCGCCUGGGGAGUACGGUCGCAAGACUAAAACUCAAAGGAAUUGACGGGGACCCGCACAAGCGGUGGAGCAUGUGGUUUAAUUCGACAAUAAGCGGAGAACCUUACCAAGGUUUGACAUCUAGCUGCAAAUCCUAGGAAACUAGGACGCCUUCGAGGGUGCUAGACAGGUGAUGCAUGGUUGUCGUCAGCUCGUGUCGUGAGAUGUACGGUUAAGUCCGGAAACGAGCGCAACCCCUGCCCUAAUUUGUAUAUUUAUUAGGGGACUGCCACGUAUAACGUGGAGGAAGGUGGGGAUGACGUCAAAUCAGCAUGUCCCUUACACCUUGGGCUACACACGUGCUACAAUGGCCAGUACAAUGGGACGCCAAGCCGAAAGGUGGAGCAAAUCCCAUCAAAGCUGGUCUCAGUUCGGAUUGAGGUCUGAAAUUCGACCUCAUGAAGUUGGAAUCGCUAGUAACCGCGUAUCAGCCAUGGCGCGGUGAAUACGUUCUCGGGUCUUGUACACACCGCCCGUCACGUCAAGAGAGUCGGCAACAUCCGAAUGUCUGUGUAAGCAGGCAGAAGGUGGGGUCGAUGAUAGGGGCGAAGUCGUAACAAGGCA